UAAUGCAUAUGAAGUAAGAGAUGGACUA
rnacentral:sRNA from 1 species